rnacentral:lncRNA from 1 species
GUCUCGUCAGAAGAAGUGGCCACUGGGGGCCUGGUCUGGAAGAGUUAUCUCCUUCCCCAACCUCUCCCUCUGCUCUGUUUUUCCAGGCCACCAUUGCCCAGAGAAGUUCUUUUCCACCCACCCAGGACUUUCCAGCAUACCUUCCUUCUUGCAGCCAAAUAAGAUUCUCCACCUUUGAGUUGCGGGUGUCAGGUAUUUUAUCUCCGCAAUGAGAAAAGUGACCAAGACAACUGACUUUGUUAUUUGGCUGUGAAUUUUCAGAGACAUGAGAUCAAUGUCACAGUCAGGAAAAUGUAGAUUUGGAGCCUGUCAAGAUUCUUCAGCGUCAUGUGGCCUGUGGCACAGCUGGUUCCUGCUGAUUACUCCUUCCACUGUCAGAGGUGCCAGUGAGGUGUGUGCAUACAUCUGUGGAGCCGUUCUCCUGGAGACAAGCACACGGGACACAAGGGAAGAGACAGUGAGUACUGAUGUGCGAGUCGUGAAAAAUGCAAAG